CAAUAGCGUAUAUUAAAGUUGUUGCAGUUAAAAAGCUCGUAGUUGGAUUUGUGGCGUACGGUGUGUUCCGGGCACUUGUUGUCUGAGUAACCUGCUGUUGCCAUCCUUGGGUGGAACCUGUGUGGCAUUAGGUUGUCGUGCAGGGGAUGCCCAUCAUUUACUGUGAAAAAAUUAGAGUGUUCAAAGCAGGCUUAUGCCGUUGAUUAUAUUAGCAUGGAAUAAUGAGAUAGGACUUUUUUGCUAUUUUGUUGGUUUGCGCAAAGAGGUAAUGAUUAAUAGGGACAGUUGGGGGUAUUCGUAUUCCAUUGUCAGAGGUGAAAUUCUUGGAUUUUUGGAAGACGAACUACUGCGAAAGCAUUUACCAAGGAUGUUUUCAUUAA
rnacentral:rRNA from 1 species